GGCCUGAUAGCUCAGGGGUUAAGAGCACUAGACAUGUAAUCCAAACUUAGUGGUUGCUGGUUCAAAUCCAAAGAGCACUAGACAUGUAAUCCAAACUUAGUGGUUGCUGGUUCAAAUCCAGCUCAGGUCA